UUCUUUCAUUCCUAUACCCUAAUGAUCGUAUACAACCUGUAAGCCUGAACAUAAACACCAGUGGGACUAGCAACUUGUGGCAAAGUUAAAUUUAUUAUAUUUUGUCACAGCACAUUUAUAAAUCACAGAGAAGAAUGCUGAGCAGUUGAUUGAUUGAGGGUUACGUGGUGUGGUGUUAGAGAGCAGUGUUUCUCAACCUUUUAUAUGAUCUCUCAGAUUAUGGCUGGGAUUCAAUAUGAUUCAAUCUGCGUUUUGUAGACAAAGCAGUUAUUAAAGGCAAUGUUACCGAGUAAGUGGAGAUCGCAUCAAGGUAAACGCUGCAGAUGUCGUCUCAAUAGAAAUUACCUUUAAAUGUAAAGUGCGCUAACAAGGAUCUAGCGAAUCUAGGCCCAACACUAGCAAUUGAGAACUGAUUAAAUCGUUGUUAGCUAACCAUCUGAGGGACUGGUUAGAAACAGUAACAGUCCGCGUAUUAGGGGUGUAUCAAUGUUCUAUAUCAAUGGGAGAAACACUGGUAUAGAGUGAACACAUUCCCUUUUCAUGUAACAGAGACCACAUUGGGGAUGCUCUCAAUAGUCAUCUUCAUACGAUUAAUUUCAAUAAAUACUAUACAAAAAAAUUGAUCUAAGACCGAGAUAAAAAACAUGGCACAUGCUGAAAAAAAUACAUACCCUUUACAAUUAGCUAUAAAAACUAAAUGAUUUACAAAGAUGUUGGUACACUGCACUGUGUAUUACAUACAGUAUAUAUUUCAUUAUGAGUUUGUAUAUACAUGUAUAUUACUUACUUAUGCUUUUAAUAAAGUGCCUUUCUUAAAAAAAACAAGUUUACAAAAAUUAUACCUUAUCUUUUCAAAAGAAAAUAUUCCUGAUAAAAAAGGUUUGCAACGUAAACUUUCAAAUGUAAGCCCAAUACGAGACAUCUCCAAAAAGACUAAAGUAUUUUUCCAUGACAAAAACAACAAAGAAUGUUUCAAAUUGAGAAACAGCAUUGAAGUUGGCCAAUGAUAAAUAGCACAAUGAAACACGUUGCCAACUGCAGUGUACUAGGAACAUUUCUCCCAUAAACCCAUGAACUUUAAAACAGAUGGUUUUGCAUCAUCAUCACCCCAUUGGUUUGUAAGAAAAGUAAACACAAUCAUUGUAUAAAGUUGCACUUUAUUCCCAUCUCACAAGCUCUAUCACCUUAACAUUUCCCUUUGCUAAUAAAAGGUCCAACAAUGAGACAGAAUCUGUAAGGUACAUGGAAAAGAGUCGAGCAAUUCAUACUGUGCUGAGUGGAUUUAACAGUGGCCAUUGAAAAAUAGUCAGUUUGUUACUGUACAGAAACACUGUACAGAGAAAGAGAGAGGGCAAGAGGGAGAGGUGGACGUGGCUUGCUUUGAAAACAAUAUAACUUUGAGAAUCAGGCCAAUGUCAAUACUUUCUAAGAAACAGUUCUGAUAGCCAGCCUUUCUUCCAUCCCUAUUUUCCUCUUCUCUCUCCUUCUCUCCCUUUUCCUCUGUAGCCAUACUUUACUCAGCACUCCCACAGAACACACAUACACAGAUAUCUAUCUACUGCAGUGGAGGCACCUCCUCAGAGGAGGGGAGGACCAUCCUACUCAGUCAUUUCAUGAAAAAUAGUGAAACGUUAUAAAGGUUAUCCUUUUAAGAUGAUACUAUACUAAAUAUAUUCACAUGUCACCAAAUAACUGAUUAAAACACACUGUUUUGCAAUGAAGGUCUACAGUAGUCUCAACAGAACUCUCUGGGGUAGCACCAUGGUGUAGCCGGAGGACAGCUAGUUUCCGUCCUCCUCUGGGUACAUUGACUUCAAUACAAAACCUAGAACAAUGGAUUAAAGUGAUCUUUAAGAAAUCAUUCACUGCCUUUUUUUUGUUGAGUGCAAAAAUGAAGGAGAAGCAGCAGAGAGAGCGAGAGCUAGCUCUAUUUAUUUUUUUAUUUUUCCUUUCAUUCACUUAGCUAGCUAAUUCAGUUAGCUAAUUUAGCCUACUCAAACACCCAGCACAAACAGAAGCAUGCUAUCUAUGUUAGCUAUCUGGCUAAGGCUAGCCAACACUGGAACUCUUCCAAGUCAAGGUAAGCGGUUUAAUUAAUGUAUUGCCAUGAGGCCCGCUGGUGUAACUGCUAAACUGCUUGCUGUACACUGUACUGCGUGAUUGUAGCGGGUUUACUAACGUGUUAGUUCUAGUAGCUAUGUUGACUAUGACGUUAGCUAAUAUGGUGACAACGAUGUAGGCUGUGUGUAGUGGUUAGCGAUUACGGCAUGAAGGUGAGGGGAGGAUAGCACGUAGACGCGAGAAGGAAUUAUACAAUGAGCAAAGUGAUGAUUCUGUUUGUAUGUGGCUGCUAUGAAAGUGAACUGUGUGUGCGGGUGAUUAGGGGUGUAUUCAUUCCACCGAUUCUGUUGAAAACCGUUUCUUAAACGGAAAUAAACAGAACGAAACGGGGAUAAACCUACCUGAAUUUGUCCAAUAGAAACUCUCGUUUGCAACUGUUUGGACUAAUGAUUACACCCUAGAUCAGCUAUAUUCAGGCAAGAGUGUGCAAGGCGGUAUUGAAUGCGUCACUGUCUGUCACCUUGAUUACUCCAAUUUGUCUCUCGAUCUGUUAUAAACUUUCAUUCGUAGACUAGGUUGUAGCAACCUCAUGAUAGAUAUAGGGAAAAUUCAAGAAUCAUGUAGCCUAAACCUAUUGAUGUUACAUUGAAUGGAAUAUAAAUGACACUCAUCCAAUAUGCUGUAAUAGAAAUAAGGCCUUGCGCAUAAAAAAAAGGUCCUCCCUAAUCUUAAACGGCACCAACCACCACUGAUCUACUGAACCUAGAGGUCCUCUGAAAGACAUACACGCUUGCACGUGCAUACACACAACACAGAGUACAUUCCUAGGACAGAGAGAUAUGCUGUGAGAGUCAGUGGAGGCUGUUGCAAUAGAGUGAAUGUUAUGGUAUCAAACACAUGAAAACCAUUAUUACUAUGAGUUGUCCUCCCCUCAGCAGCCUCCACUGGGUGUAGUGGUUGUAGUGUAGUGUAAUGUGAUGGUGAAACCUGAGGCAGCAGCAGGCAGGCUGGAGAGCCAUGCAGCAGUGUGAGCCUGAGCUGUUAAUGCCAUGAGGAUUCAGGGGGUUUUCACAGCUGGGCCCAAUGGAAGAUGAACCCAGUGUAGUGUGAAGGUAUCCAUUACUCCAUGCCAAACAGUCAGAAUGGACUCAAUUAAAGAGGGACUUCAUCCCAAAUAGUACCCUAUCCCCUUUAUAAUGCACUACUUUUGGUCCAAAAUAGUGCACUAUAUAGGCGAUAGGCUGCUAUUUGGGACAAAUUCCCUCUUUAAUUGAGUCCAUUCUGACUGUGUCUGGCAUGAAGUAAUGGAUAUCUUCCAGGGACUGUGGAUGGUUAACUGGUCAUAUCCCAACGUACACUCCUCAUAUGAAUCACUGCAUUACUUUGUCUGUGUUCACUUGGCUGUGUGUUUGGUAGUGAUAUGAAGCAACAACGUGAUGGUCAAGGCAGUUUGAGUCCAUAGGAACACAUCACAUUCAAUGACAAGGCUUUGGAUACUAUGUGAUUAAAAUGUUCAAAAUCCAUGUAAAACAUCACAGCACAAUUUGAAAAAUAUAUGGCACAUGAAAACCAAACGAGGGUGGUCUGCAGUGAUAGGUGGGAUGGGCUGAGAGUGGCUGAGGGGUGGGAUUAAAGAGCUCAUGUUCGGUAAUGUAUUAUUGUUAUGUGAUUGCUUUAUAUAAAAGUACCAUGUAUGUAAAAUCUAUAUGUACAAUGCAUGUAUAAGUAGCAAAAAAGCUGUAAAAAAAACAAAAAAUAUAUUUGUGUCCUCCGAUGGGGGGGUUAAGGGGGAAAAAAGGGUGAAAAAUGGCAAGGCUUUGAUCAGAGAAUGUGGACAAAUGUUACCAGCACCGUGUCUCAACAGAUGAAGGAGAACGCAUGUCAUGCUGCUGUUUCAUCUGAGAGAAUUUGAGGGAAAAAAAAAAACGUUAUUCAUACCAGAGGCUGUAACGCUCUUCUCAUAUUAUGUUCGUCAGUGUGUCUGAGUCCAACUACUACAGCCCUCUGUGUUCUUAUUGUGAUUGGCAUCUUGAUGAAUUGGGAUCUCUGUGAAGUUUCCAAACGCUAUUCGCUUAACUGGCUUCGAUAUGGCAGAGUGCAGGAUGUUGAGGGAAUACUGGAGGGCUGCCUGACUCUCUGUGUGUGUGUGUGUGUGUGUCUGUGUUUGUCUUUAGUGACGGCCUGAUGACAACCUACAGAGAAUUCCCCUAUGCCAACUUGAGCCAGUUAUGAAUGGGCAUGGAUGAGGGCGAGGGAGAGAGAGAGAGAGAGAGGGAGGAAAGGAGAAAAGGAGCAAUCGAGCUACCAGCUCCCACAGUCUCACGUCAGAAUUAGACUUUCAUCCAUGUUUCUUAAACGUCAAAUUCAGAAGUUGUUCCAAAUGUCAAAUUUCAAAGUGUUUAAAGUUAGGUUUUGUCAUUAACUCCAAAUGUUUAAGGUUAGCGGUUAACCUCAGGCAUUAACUCCAAAUUCUUAGGUUAGGCAGUAACUCCAAAUGGUUAAGGUAAGGUUGAAAGUUUGGGAUACCCUUAAAAACAAAAAUACUUUCCAUUGCUGGUUUUGAACUUGCAACCUUUGAAAUCAGAGGCAGAUGAUUACGCCCAAUCCCCGUCCACAACACAACACCAUAGCAAAACCAAAACCUUCUUGAAGGUAACAGUGCUCACUAUUGCUCCUAGUGGCCGGUUUACACAUAAUUUCCCGACGUCGUCAGAUGUGGAUGGACGUCGAACAUUGACUUGUAUCACGGGUGACCUGGAUGUAAUUAGAGUAUAAAAAAGGGAAGGAGAGGAUAAGUCCCGUGUGGCUCAGUUGGUAGAGCAUGGCUCUUGCAAUGCCAGGGUUGUGGAUUCAUUUCCCAUGGGGGACCAGAAUGAAAAAGUAUUAAGAUUGUAUGCACUCACUACUGUAAGUUGCUCUGGAUAAGAGCAUGUGCUAAAUUACUAAAAUGUAAAAAUAAGAGAGAGAGUGACUGAGUGUGUAACACCAAAGGUUGUGUAUUGUUUCUGCUGUUGUCAUUGCAGUGUGGAGAGGGAGAGCUGUCCAUCAACACUAUUCUUUCAGGAUGUAUUCAGCCUCAACAUCUCUCAAUGGCACUCAGUCUGAUAACCAGGGUUAGUAUUAAGACCUUAAAACAACACCAGGCAACAAGACAGGGUGGAGGGGGAGAGGCAGCAGGUCUUGGACACCAGUGAAGGGGAGAGCUCUUCAAAGGGUUCCACUGUUUACAGAGAUGUCUCUCCACUUCCCCUCUGCUCAACUCCCACUCCUCUCUGGAGAAAGGACCUCCAUGCAUCAACUGAGCCCAGACACCCCUCUCCUGCACCUUCACUUCUACCUCCAGCCUCACUCCAUCCUCCCCCUCACCCCUAGAGAGUCCAAGUAUCUCUCUCCUUUCAAGCCCCCCUACCAAGCGUUUCCCCCUCUUCCCUCCUACCUCUCUCCCUCUUUUCCAGCACCUCUACGACUGUCUCUCUGAGUGUCUCGGGUUGCGAGGAAUGCAACACCGUGACUUGUUAACAGGCGAUAAAAGGAAAACAUCUCAAUACGGCUCAAUUAUGGAUCAGAUUAAACGAUGGAGCAAUCCUUAGGAGGAAUACAAGCGGUGCGUCUGUCGAUGAGAGAGAGAGAAAGAGAGAGAGAGAGCGACAGAGAGACCUUCAAGGUUUCAACAAUGUAUUUUUAUGUUUCCCCCAGGAUUAGCUAACCAUGACCCAGUGCAACUUUAUCUGACGGAGCAUUACGGCCAAAUGGCUCAGGAGGAUGAGUAUCUGGUCUUCUGAUACUGGAUAUGACUGGAUGAAUAACACAAUAGAGUUCUAGGGGUCAACAUCUCCAAAGAAAUAUGUGGCUUGACAUGAAAUAAGAAAGUAAGAAAAGCACAAUGCAUCUUGGGGCUGUGCUUGAUCAGUCUGUUUUUUUGUUCCGACUGGAGUUGGGCCAAGAGAGAGAGAGAGCGUU
rnacentral:lncRNA from 1 species